UGGUGCCACGUCCACAGCUGGAAUCUGAACCGGUGAACCCUGGGCCACUGAAGCAGAAUGUGUGCACUUAACUGCUGUUCCACCGGGAUGGCCCCUCCAGCCUUUUCUUAUCCAUGUCAUGAGCAGUCUUAUCAAGAGGCACAUGUGAAGAAGAACUGAAGCGUCCUGCAAAUAACUAGGUACCUGCUUCACUCUGCUCCUGGCCUUUUGAAAUGAAAAUGCAAAGAAAACACAAAGUAGAUCUCUGCGAGAUUGGGCACUGUAAGAACCUUCCUGCUGUUCUCCAAGGGAGCUUUGAAACAAUAAUUAAGCACGCAAAAAAACAAAUCUUCAUGAAUAAUCGAAUUGGAAGAACCAGGGAAGUUUGUACAGCACACGGCUGUGGCUGACAGACAAGUCAGGAAUCAGCCUCCUUCAGUAGGACGCUAAUUGUCUUUGACACCUUCUAUUAACAGCAGGGAGCACAGCCGAAGACUGGUGCAGACACGUGACCCGACAUUUCCUUAACUUCCAUUUUUCUAAAAGUAUAAGGUUUCUUUUUUUCCUGUGCUUGUUUUUGUUGUCGAAUUCAAAUUUCAAACUACAUUACAAGAUAAGCAUAUAUAAAAUAUAACUUUAAAGUUCUGUUAGUAUAAAAAUGAGAUAUAAAAGCAAAAAAAUAAGGCAAAUGGGCUUGAUAUGUUAAUAUUAACAUAUUCCAAAUGUCUUUCAGAAAUGGUAAUACAUUCAAGUUGCCUUUCCCUCUCCUACAACCAUGACAGACAUAAUUAGAGAUUUUUCCACUUAUUUUCUCUUGAGGCUGGGCUAGGUAGUUAUCCGAAAUGUCUAAUAUUGGCUCAGUUAAUGAACCUCAUUUGCUGUCUCUGCUCUAGGCCAUGCUAAAGCAUCUCUAACACACAAUUGGCCUGACAUAAUUACAAAACAAAACUUUGGGUUGUGAAAUCGUGGGAAGAAAACAGAUUAUCAGUGAAGUUUAGGAAUAACACGGAAUCAAUAACUUUUUGUGACAACUCACCAGUUCUUUUCUUUAUGCCAAACUAAAGAAGUUUUCCUGCUGCUGAAUCACAGAGUGAACCAACCAACCAACCAACCAAAAAGGGAACCUAGGUAGCUGCAGCAAACGUUUUGCUAAGCCUGGCUAGCCCACAUAUUGGAGGCAUUGAAUGACUGGCACCCAAUGUUUGUGCUGCUGGGGGAUGAGGAUAUUUAAGAAGUAAUAUCUUCUACAGAAAUCAAUUUUUAAAAUAAUCAAUAUUAAAAACAAAUAAAUUUACAAAGUUUAAGGCUCUGUAAUAGUUAUCUGAAGCAAAAUAGACUUUCUUAAAUGUAUUAUUUAAGAAUAAAGAGGAAACUAUGCAUACUUCUCCUUCAAAGAGUAAAGUUAGCCUUUUAAGCAAUUUUUUUCUUGUCUUUAUAAUUUUCUGUGUUAUAAAAGUCCAUAGAAUAUGGCAGCCCCUAUCUGACUCUACCAGGAUCAAGAUUCUGGGGUUCAGACUGAGCAAGUACGAGCCAACAAUUCCUUGUGACCAGUUCUACAUCUCUGAGUGCUUCAUCCUACACAAGUACCAUUAGGGUUAGAGUUCGUCUAAGUAGCUGAUAGGAACUAAAUUAGAGAGAGAAAUAUGAAAAUGGAAUGAGAUUCUUCCUGAAAUCUCAAAUUUGAGCAAGUGUGAAGAGACUGAAGUCUCUUUAUAGUUCCUAGUAAAAGAAAGUCCAUUGGUUUCUUCCUCGUCAUUUUAAUUUAGGAAAUAGAACCUGGGCAGUUAUGACUCUGGACACACACUGAAAGGGUAGCUUCUCUUAAUAACUCUGUGGCUUUAGGCAAAUUAUUGAAAUUUUCUGAUCUUCAGUUCACUUAUUUCUAUGGUUGCAGAAAUAAUAGUACCAACCUUAUAAGGUUAUUAUAAGGGUUAAAUGAGGUUAACUAUGAAAAGUACCUAGCAAGAUAUCUGGCACAUAGUAAAUGCUCAAUAAAUGUUAGCUGAUAUUCGCUAUUAAUAAUGUUAUUGUGUAAAAUUUGCAGCAGACUCCUCCUCUUUUCCCCUAGACCCACUUCUUCUCACUCUUCAUCCUCGUGGAGUCAUGAAUCUCUCCCAUAGUAGUAACACGUUUUCAAUACCUUCUUCUGUCCCCUGUGUUCUUUGCUGCCUCAGACUCUUUGCUGUCUAUUUGUUUCAUGCUUGGUUUUCACAUUCAGUCUCCCCUCUAGUUGCAGACUGACCCCAGGUGAGCAACUACCCCUGUAGCCCCAGUCCCUCCCCAGCAGGAAUAGCCUAUUCCUCCCCUUUUCCCAUCUCACAUGGGUAUGGAUAUGCUUCUGGAUGUGCUGCUAGGUAGCUAAGAAUCCAGAAUGCAGAGAAGCACAUGAAUAGAAUCACCUAGAAGAGAGAAGAGGAUCCUUGAGAUGCAAAUAACUAGGACUACAAAAGAAAAAAAUGGUAUAUUCAAUUAUGCUAUAACAACAGCAGCAACAGUAAAACCCAGAACUCAAAGCAGCAGAUGUUAAUUUCUUGCUCAGAUUUAUAGCCAUCUUGGGUGGCAGAGGGCUCUGCUUGACAUUGUUUUUAAUCAGGGAUCUUGGCUGAGGAAGCAUCCACAUUUGCAAUUGCAUCUGUUACAAUGCGAGGAGUAAAGCAACAGGUAUUACACAGAAGCAACACAGGACACUUCAGCUUACGUUACAUAAUCAAGAGCAACAUACAUGUCCAUGCCUAACUGCAAAGGGGCUCAGAAGUUCCUAUCCUACUAUUCAUCUGGGAUAUUAGUGAACAGCCCUAAUAAUUACAAAACUGUAAAUCAAUGUAAUAGAGUAUGAGUUCCUGACAGCAUGAAAUACAUUUCAUGAAACUUUAUAUUCUCUCCUUCAGAGAAAAACUUGACAAUAGUGACAUACAAUAAAUGCUUUUGUAAUGAGUAAAUUAAUGAUCUCAUAUAUUGUAUUGUAAAAAUGAAUCCAAAUGUUGAUUACGCUAAUAGAUGCAAUAUAUAAUGAUAAUAGCACAGGAGUUUUAGAAGAGGUUAUUUACUUGGAAUGUUUAUUCACACAUUUCUUUUGUUUUAAAAAUUUUUAAAGUUAAAAUACUUCACUUCCAACCUUGAGUUUUCUCUGAAGGCUUUUCCUAUGCAGUGUCAUAUAAAGCGCUCGUGGGACUUUGCCAAAGCUUGCCAUUGAGAUCUCCUGAAAUUACUCUAGAUUUAAAUUGCUUAACUUGGUAUAGGAGCACACUGACAUUCACAGCUGUUAAUCAUGGGCACUGUAGGAUUAUGAAGGCAUUUAAUGUUUUCCCUCUGUGGGAUAUUAGGUGUCAUGUUAGCACAUUGUGAUCAUUACUUUGAGUGCAUGUUUUAAUUCUCUUCUCUCCCCACCAAUGUGCAUCUCCUUCUAGGCUUAUAAUUUAACCUCUGUGUGCCUGUUUUCAUUUCUGGGGGAAAUUAAUGCAUUGUAGAAAUUUAAAAUUUCUAUUAUGACUUCAUUCCAGUAGGUUUCAAAUUCAUAUACUUGAUCUGAUUGAAUGAGUCAUGAAGGGGUGGAAAUAUAUUGAAAGUGCCAUGAGUGGAUGUUGAAAACUACUGAGACUAAGUAUUGAUGAAGAGCAAUUACUGUAAUAUGACAAGAAACUUCUUGAUUUAGAAAUCCUCGAUGUUUCCAAGUUAUGAGAAAAUAAGGAAUAUAAUGAAAGAGAAAGAAAAUCAACACUUUUCUGAAAUAUUGUAUUUAAAAAAUCAGUACUACAAUAGAAAAUUAAAAAUGAGUUCUUUUACAAAUAUAGACUUUUCUCUCAUAGUCUAUGCUCUAACACUUUAUUUUUUUGACCUAAUAGUGAUACUUGAUAUACCUGCCACUUAAUUUUUUGUUCUCCCUUCUGAGUAAUCAGGCUACAAACAAAGCCAGCUAAAACUUAAAGAAUACUUGCAGUUUUGUCUCUUGAUAAAUCUAGAGGUAAGGAAUAGACAAUUCAGCACAGGACAAAACUCCAAAAUAAAACCUUUCCCUUUUCCUCAUCAAAUUCUCUUCUCCAUUUAUCAAAUACCAGGUCCUUUCUUUUUCUCUACGUUGGAAUCCUGCACUCUGCCCAACUCCCAUGAAUGGAAAAGUUCUACUUGCUACACGUCCUUGCUAAGACGCAUUAUUAUCAGUAUCUCUAUUUUACCCAGUCUGAUGGCUGUGUACAGAAAUAGCAUUGUGACUUUAAUUCGUGCUUGCCUGAUUUUAAUGAGGUUGAGCACCUUUUCAUACAUUUAUUGGUGAUUUGGAUAGUCUUUUUUGUGAAGUGCUAAUUCUUGUCUCUUGUCCAUUGUCUAUUAGAAUGCCUAUCUUUUCCUUAUUGAUUUGUAGAAGUUUAUUUCAUAUACCUGAUAAAUCUUUUGUGAAUUAUAUUUAGUAUUACAAAUAUAUUUUCUAACUCUGUAUAUUGUCUUUUUAUUCCCCAAAUUCUGUCUUUUGAUGAACGGAAGUUCCUAAUUUUAUUGCAGUUCAUUUUAUCAGUGACUUUAUUUACAGUUAUUGCCUUUUAAAUCCUGUUUGGGAAAUCUUUGCCUAUCCCAAUGUCAUGGAAGAUUCGUAAAAAAUUUUAGAUCUAAAAUCCACAGUGAACUGAAGAGGCCCACGUUAAUAUUUCAUUGAUAGUGAUUAGACUGUUCUUUUCUGAUUGCUCUGUAGGGCUACCAUCACGAGAAAUUAAGUGCCCACAUACAUAUGUGAUUAUUUCUGGACUCUGUUCUGUUCCAUUGGUUGAUGUUUCCAUCCCUGUGCAAUUACCAUAGGAUCUUUAUUAACAUAGGUUUAUAAUAAAACUUUUUAUUGGACAGUUUAAGUGCUACAAUGUUUUUUCUUCUUCAAAAUUAUCUUGACUAUUAUUUUUUUGUUUUUAUAUAAAUCUAAAAUUAGCCUUUUGAUUUUUCUGAAAAAAAAAACAAAACAAGAUUUUGCUUGAAGAUUCAGUUGGUUAACAGAUCAAAUUUGGGGAAAGCAAAAUCUUUGUUGGUGAUACUAAAUCGUCCAAUCCUUUGUCGACGAAAAUAAUCCAUGACCAAUCUAUAAAUGAAAAUUUAGGCGAGUUUAUUCUGAGCCAAAA